GUCUUCUGCUAACUUAGUCUCAGUCAGAGCUUGCAUGGUGAAAGUUUCCUGUAACUGCCAUCAGUUCAGUAAAAUAUUUGCUAAAUGCAAAAAAUGUGGUUGCACUGGGUUUUGUUAAGUUUCUUAAUAAAGGGCAGUGCAUGUUCAGCCUUCAUAGUAACUCAGAUGUGACACAAAUAAUGCAGCAAAUAAUUACAAUGACCUUUUGCUCACCUCAAAUUUAAACAAAGGUUAAGCUGCCCUUUAGAAAAGUAAAUAUUUUCUGUAGUCUAAUAAGUGUAGACACCUUUAGAAACAAGGACGUAUUGCCAAACUAAACUAAAAUGAAAAUUGUUACAAUAGAAUAAUUUCAAAACAGAAAAGAUGCAAAUCUCUGCACCCAGCCAGACAUCCUGGCAUCGCAGGCAGUCCCUUACCUUGCAAAACUCCCAGGCUGAUCUCCAUAUGGUUUCCAAGAACUGUUGCUUGAAAUUUCUGUCCAGCCACAGCAGAUAGGAGAGAGAAAUAUUAAAAAUAAGAAAGUGCAUAAUCUCCUUGCCCCCUUAAAUCUAGUAAACAAUUUAUAUUUGAUUUCAUACAACAGAAUGAAUCCACGGACCUUUAAGUAAUUAAGAAACAGACACUGAGGCUUAAAAAAUAAACUUAAGGGAAAAUCUCACAUAGUGGCCAGGAAAUGGCUCAUAGGUUUUAUUUAGUUCUCAUAGUCCAAGGUUUAGCUGUUAGCUAGAUAAGAGCCAGGUGUGUUUUACACAUCUAAUUUGUUUAGUCUGAAGCUAAUUCAAACAGCGCUCUUUAACUACAAGUCUGCAAGUGACAUUUCAAAUCUAAAUCCAGGAUCAAUUCAUGUCACAUAUAUUGAGGGUCUCUCACUGGGAAGGAGCACUUCUGGGGAAGGACAUUCUCACUUUUUUUCUGGCAGCCUAGGAGUUCCUGCUGGAGAGGCAGCUCUGGUGCUGGGCACUGGGGCUCUGCACCCUGCAGAAGUGAGAAGGAUUUGGGCUCCUCCACACCUGCACAGGGAUGAGGCUCCACGGCUACCCGCCUGCAGCCAGAUGGCAAGGCCACAUCUGACAAUAAGGGAAUUGCAAAAUAUUUGGUGGGCAACCACUUUAUGCAUGGAAAAAGAUGAGGAAACUAGUACAGCAAUCUCCCUGAAGAGUCACCUUUGAAAGUGAUGUCUCUUCCUGAUGGACUCUUGACCCACUACUGUCCAGCUGCUGUUCACGUGGAUGCAAAUCCAGCAGCAUCAAUAUUACCAAACCUCAGAAGGAUAAAAACCUUCCUGAGUUGAGAGAUUUUUUUUUUCCAAAAUACAGGAUUUUCACCCCUCUGAACUAUUAAUCUGUUGUUUUGUUUGUUUUAGUGAUUUUUAUUUAUUUUAGUGAUUUUUAUUUAUUUAUUUAUUG
rnacentral:lncRNA from 1 species